UAUGGAGCUUUAAUUAACCGACCCAAAGAGACCAUAUGAACCAACCGACAGGAACAACAAACCUCUAUAUGGGCCGACAAUUUAGGUUGGGGUGACCUCGGAGAAUAAAACAACCUCCGAGUGAUUUAAAUCUAGACUAACCAGUCGAAAGUACUACAUCACUUAUUGAUCCAAAAACCUUGAUCAACGGAACAAGUUACCCUA
rnacentral:rRNA from 1 species